CAGUAGCCGCGGUAAUACGAAGGGGGCUAGCGCUGUUCGGAUUUACUGGGCGUAAAGGGCGCGUAGGCGGACUGAUAAGUCAGGGGUGAAAUCCCAAGGCUCAACCUUGGAACUGCCUUUGAUACUGUUAGUCUUGAGUUCGAGAGAGGUAAGUGGAACUGCGAGUGUAGAGGUGAAAUUCGUAGAUAUUCGGAAGAACACCAGUGGCGAAGGCGGCUCACUGGACUGGUAUUGACGCUGAGGUGCGAAAGCGUGGGGAGCAAACAGGAUUAGAUACCCGAGUAGUCCCUGUCUCUUAUAA
rnacentral:rRNA from 1 species